UUCAUCAAAAUAAAUGGGGAUGGGGAAAUUCGUUGGGUAAAGGCGCGAAUGGAGGUCGUUUGCGAGCAGAUAUUAUGAUGGAUGGAAUAGAGAAAUAUCAGAUCGAAUACUCACCUGCACGGUAGAAAAGUCUUCUGACUAGAAAACAAAAAGCCCAUUUUCAUUUCAUAAAACCCCAUCCAGUGGUAAUCAAUGGGACCCUGGGGGCUGAGAUAUACAAGUUCUUACCAGACGAUCUACAACGAGACUAAGAAAAUACAAGAAGUAAACAAGCAUCGGAGCAUGAAAUGGGUUUUCCAAAAUGGCUGGGCCACAUUACAGAACCAGAUAAUCAACCUUCUGCUUUACAAAAAAGAUGAUCAGAGAGCUGAAAUAGGAGAAAGAGGCUUCAAGAUCCUUCGUUGCAGUAAUAGGAGGGUUUUGAAGAUGCCUAAUAAGGGCUCACGAUGUGGCACACGAAUAACAAUUUUUCAUGUCUUUUACUGUGAAGGAUGAUAUAUUUUGUUUGUUUGAGGGGACGCCGUAGAAUCUGCCGAGCUUAAAGCUGCAAGACUGGCUGUCUGGUCAAUUUUCGUUAUAACUAUAAAAUCAGAAUUUUAAUGGUCCUCUGUAAUCUCAUCAGCGACUUCUCUUAAGCUGCUACAGGCAUUUUUUAAAGGGGUUUUAAUCAGGGGUAGAGGACAGAGUGGCUGGAAAGGGAGGAGCUUCACCCCAUUUUAGGGUUACGAAUUUCAGCAUUGCGGCCACACGGCCUCAAGGUGGAGUCAUGCGCUCCUUAUUUGGGGUUGUAGCUUCUUGUGGCUGUACACCAUUUUUUUUUUCCAAUUUGGCCUCUGUUGUUUGGGGUUUGUAAAUUUUUUAUAAAAGGUUUUGUUUAUUAUGUAUAUAUUUCCGAUUUUAUUUUC